AUAUUAUUAGUAUAUUUAAAUACAUUAUCUUUCCAAGUUAGAGAUCCUUAAUUGUUUUAGGAUAAUAUA
rnacentral:tRNA from 1 species